CCUACGGGAGGCAGCAGUGGGGAAUAUUGCACAAUGGGGGAAACCCUGAUGCAGCGACGCCGCGUGAGUGAAGACGUAAUUCGUUAUGUAAAGCUCUAUCAGCGGGGAAGAAAAUGACGGUACCUGAGUCAGAAGCCCCGGCUAACUACGUGCCAGCAGCCGCGGUAAUACGUAGGGGGCAAGCGUUAUCCGGAUUUACUGGGUGUAAAGGGAGCGUAGACGGCAGUGCAAGUCUGGAGUGAAAGGCGGGGGCUCAACCCCCGGACGGCUCUGGAAACUGUACGGCUGGAGUGCAGGAGAGGGAAGUGGAAUUCCUAGUGUAGCGGUGAAAUGCGUAGAUAUUAGGAGGAACACCAGUGGCGAAGGCGGCUUACUGGACUGUAACUGACGUUGAGGCUCGAAAGCGUGGGGAGCAAACAGGAUUAGAUACCCCUGUAGUC
rnacentral:rRNA from 1 species